rnacentral:rRNA from 1 species
CCAAUAGCGUAUAUUAAAGUUGUUGCAGUUAAAAAGCUCGUAGUUGAAUUUCGGGGUUCUACCGUUGGUCGGGCAAUUGUUUGUACUGGCGUGUAGAAUUUCUACCUUCUGGGGAACCAUCAUGUUAUUAAUUUAGCGUGGUGGGAAACCAGGACCUUUACCUUGAAAAAAUUAGAGUGUUCAAAGCAGGCUUACGUCUGAAUACAUUAGCAUGGAAUAAUAAAAUAGGACGGUGGUCCUGUUUUGUUGGUUUCUGAAUCACCGUAAUGAUUAAUAGGGAUAGUUGGGGGCAUUAGUAUUCCAUUGUCAGAGGUGAAAUUCUUGGAUUUAUUGAAGACUAACUUCUGCGAAAGCAUUUGCCAAGGAUGUUUUCAUUAAUCAAGAACGAAAGUUAGGGGAUCGAAGACGAUCAGAUACCGUCGUAGUCUUAACCAUAAACUAUGCCGACUAGGGAUUGGACGAUGUUAAUUUUUCUUGACUCGUUCGGCGCCUUACG